rnacentral:rRNA from 1 species
UACGAAGGGGGGCUAGCGUUGCUCGGAAUCACUGGGCGUAAAGGGUGCGUAGGCGGGUCUUUAAGUCAGGGGUGAAAUCCUGGAGCUCAACUCCAGAACUGCCUUUGAUACUGAGGAUCUUGAGUUCGGGAGAGGUGAGUGGAACUGCGAGUGUAGAGGUGAAAUUCGUAGAUAUUCGCAAAGAACACCAGUGGCGGAAGGCGGCUCACUG